rnacentral:rRNA from 1 species
GAGGCCCAGCCUGCCCGGUGACUGUUUAACGGCCGCGGAACCCUGACCGUGCGAAGGUAGCGUAAUCACUUGUCCUAUAAAUGAGGACUAGUAUGAAAGACUUCACGAGGAUUAAACUGUCUCUUUUUUCUGAUCAGUGAACCUAAUCUCCCCGUGAAGAAGCGGGCAUAAUCAUAUAAGACGAGAAGACCCCAUGGAGCUUAAAACAUUUAAAUGUUUUUGGUUGGGGUGACUGCGGAGAAUAAUAAAACCCCCGCGAUGAAACAUAAGUUACAACUUUAAGUAUCAGAAAACUGACAUCCUUUGACCCAAUUACUUGAUCAACGAACCAAGUUACCCUGGGGAUAACAGCGCAAUCCACCUUGAGAGCUCUUAUCGACAGGUGGGCUUACGACCUCGAUGUUGGAUCAGGGUAUCCUAGUGGUGCAGCCGAUAAUAAAGGU